rnacentral:rRNA from 1 species
AUUGAACGCUGGCGGCAUGCCUUACACAUGCAAGUCGAACGGUAACAGGCCGCAAGGUCCUGACUGGUGGUGGACGGGGGAGUAAUGCUACCGCAUGGGUCCCGUCCCUGUGGAUAACUACUCGCAUGAGUAGCUAAUAGCUCAUACCGGCUAUUAAUGUAAACCGGGUGGUGCAAGGGUGCGCGCGAGUCUUGCUGCCGAUGUCAGAUUAGUUAGUUGGUGGGGUAAAGGCUCACCAAGGCAACGAUCUGUAGCUGGUCUGAGAGGACGAGCAGCCACACUGGGACUGAGACACGGCCCAGACUCCUACGGGAGGCAGCAGUGGGGAAUUUUGGACAAUGGGCGCAAGCCUGAUCCAGCAAUGCCGCGUGCAGGAAGAAGGCCUUCGGGUUGUAAACUGCUUUUGUUCGGGACGAAACGGUUUUGGUGAAUACCCGGGGAUAAUGACGGUACCGUAAGAAUAAGCACCGGCUAACUACGUG